UGGAGGCUGAUGGGGGCAGCCAGGCCCGUGGUGGCCGAGCCUGGGGCCUGGGCCUGACAAUGGUAAGCUCCAGCUUGGCUCGAAGCAAUGGCUGCAAAAUGGAGCAUGGCCGAGGUCGACUCCUGGAGGGGCUGGCCAUCCCGGUACCAGCGGUAUGAGGUCCCCUCAGGGAUUCCUGCGGGUACCUGGCAGCUCAGAACCACGGCCUGGCCCUCCUGAAGCUCGGGUGAUGGAGACACCUGGACCCAAGCUCCUGCAGGGAGAAACCGAGAGCAGGUGUGGGCUCUUGCCCUAACCUCCCGCAGUCUGGGGCUGUGUGUGUCCACAUGGGGACUGCAUGUCCCCACCUGGGCCUGGAGGGUCAGCCUGGAGCCACAGCUCCCAGAGGACCACCUCCGAGGCCUGCCUCAGCCCCAAGCUUCCACCAGCUCCGUGGCACUGGGCUCUGCCCUGGAACUCACCUCCUGCCACCUGGAGUCACGGUUUUGCUUUGCCAAUCGUAUCUCACCUACCCGCGGAUAAGCCUCGAGAGGGCCAGGCUUGUGUAACCUGCAACCCCGUGCCCGCACGUGGCUGACUCUCAACAAAGGGCUGAAAAGGACUCAUACUUCUGCACAAAAUCCACACCACCCAGGCCAAAGUCUGCCAGAGUAGCCUUCAGGACAUCGGGGUCUGCCACAUCUCCAGAGGACGGAUACUCACCUCGGACCUGAAAGAACAGCGAGGUGUUGGCUGAUCCAAGAAUGUUGGUGGCCUCACAGCGGUAGCUGCCGGAGUCCCCAAGGCCCAGCUCUCGGACCUCCAGCUGCAGGGAGUUGGCGGAUGCCUUGGCCCGGAGCCGACCACGAGACGGGAGCUGGGGUCCUGGGCUGGUGGCCAGAAGGCGCGCCCCGUGGAACAGUGCCAGCUGAGCCGGGGGGCGACUAUCCACAGAGCAGACAAACAAGGCCAUGUGGCCCUGGUCCACGUCCAGGAGGGCUGACAGCUUUGGAGAUUCCGGCGGAUCUGCAGGGACACGGAGCACACUCAGCAGCACGGGGGUGGAGAGCUGGGCACCAGCCUCAGUGAGGAUGCGGCAGGCAUGGAGGGCAGCAUCGGUUCUGGCCACGGGCAGCAGGGUCACAGUCUCCAGAGGGCCCUGGGCCCACAGCGUCCCGUCCCGGAACCAGGAGAAGUUGGCAGGGCCGCUGGCUUCCCGGCUCACGUUGCACGUCAGGUCUCGAAUCUCCAGGCGCAGGGAGUUGGGAGCAGACGAGAUGCUGAAGCGUGGGCUGUGGUCACCCUCUCCGGAGGUGGAAGCCAGGAUGAGGUCCCCAUGUGACAGCACCAGAGUGGCCACGGGCUCGCUGACCACGGAGCAGUGGAGGAUGCCCACCAGACCCGCCUGCGUCUCAAGGAAGGCGGUCAGGUACGGGGCCUGGGGCGGGUCUGGGUAGAGAUGAGGGGUGGCCUGUCACCCUCCGAUGGGACACUCCCUGGAUCUCCCUUUAAAGCCUGUGACCCCUGCACCUCCUUUACCCCACAAUGCCCCGGGAGAAAGGGGUGACCCCAGCAGCUCCUGAGCGCCUGCUGAAUACCAGCCACUGAGCUGGGCAAGUCACUGUGACAUCCCAGUCCAUCCCGUGGCAACCCUGCAAGCAGGUAUCAGGGCCACUUGAAACAUGGGAAGACUGUCAGAGAGACCCGGCUGUCAGCACUUUAACCAAGCCACCAAAGGGAGCAUUUUCCACAGCGGGACAGAGGGACAUUGCACGCCUCCUGACCUGAAGCACAAGACACACAAUAUCACGCCUGCCAUAUUCCUCCCACACAGCCCCGGUGUGUUCUGGUCAGACAAACCCAGAUCGAGGGACAUUACACACACAACUGGCCUGCAUUCUUCAAAUUUCAAUGUCAAGAAAGACAAGGAAUGUUCUUUUUUACUUUUAUUUUUAUUUUUAUUCUUAUUCAUAGUUUUUGGAGUCAUGAAGAUGUAUGAAAAAAUUGUAGUGAUGAAUGCACAACUCUGUGAUGGUAUUGUGAACAACUGAUUGUACACUGUGGAUGAGUGUGUGGUAUGUGAAUAUAUCGCAAUAAAAUUGCAUUUGAAAAAACAAGACAAAGGAAGCGCAAGCACUGUUCCAGAUUGAAAGAGAGUAAAGAGACAUGACGACUGAAUAAGGUGUGGAUUCCUGGACCAGAAGAAAAUAAUUGUUAUAAAGGACAAUUUUGGGACAACUGGUAAAAUUUGAAUGUAGACUGUAGAUUACAUAAUAGUGUUGAAUCAACGUUAAAUUUCCUGAUCGUCAUCAUUGUACUGUGGUUAUGUAAGAGAAUGACUUUAGGAAAUAUAAGCUGAGGAAUUCAAGGGUAAAGGGGCAUCAUUUGUGCAACUUCUUUUCAAAUGUUUCUGGAAA